rnacentral:rRNA from 1 species
UACGGAGGGGGCUAGCGUUGUCCGGACUGACUGGGCGUAAAGCGUCCGCAGGUGGUCGUGCAAGUGCGCUGUGAAAGCGGCCCGCUCAACGGGCCGAGGCCAGCGCAGACUGCGCGGACUCGAGGUCGGGAGAGGUCGGUGGAAUUGCCGGUGUAGUGGUGAAAUGCGUAGAGAUCGGCAGGAACACCCAGGGGGAAACCAGUGGACUGGGCAUGUGCUGACGCUCAGGUGCGAAAGCGUGGGGAGCGAACCGG